GAGACACUGUUGGGUCCAUAUUCUCACGGAGCAAACACUGCUGGGAGGUUAGAAUUUCAAUUCACUUUAGAAGAAGCUGAAGUUCAGAAGUGUUAUAGAUCUACCAUCAUUGAUUUUUGGACAAUUUAUAUUCCAGAAGCCACUUAUAGCUUACUUAAAGUAGAUCCCAAGACAGAGCUUUUCCUUUUAGUUUCAGAGAGAUAAUAUUCUAAUACUCUGCAGACCACUUGAAUAGACCAGAGUUAUGAACAAAUUCAGAUAAUAUUGCUCCCAUUCUGAGAUUCCCAUUCCCUAAGCUGUGGGAAAACUUUAUGAAAUAACAUGUAAGUAGAAAUUAUUAUAGGAGGCACAGCUGGCCAUCUUCUGUCUUCAUAUAGGAAAGUAUUGAGUAGAAAAGCAUGUUGUAGGGGGGGUGUUUACUAAAACACUGAAAUGUGUCUAGGUGGGCUGUGGAGUUUCUGCCUGUGGAAAUAUUUUGAGCCUCUUCCCACCAUUUUCUAGCAACAGAGUGGAUUUGAGAGGGAGCAGCUGUUGAAAUCUGCCUUCCAAGCUUAUUACACGAGUACCUGGAACCCAGGAGAAUCUCAAUAAGGGGAGGAUUGAACGAGCACCGGCGCAUCACUUUAGGGAUAAACAUGUUUCUUCUCCCUCUUUGUCCAGGCAAAAAGAUCUUUCUUUCUCUCAAAAUGAGAUCAUUUAGUUGUGAUAAGCAACAGAGUCACAUGAAAACCUUUCUCCAAAGACCAAAUAUUAGAAAAAGUCUACACAGCUCAAACCAGAGGCCUCACAGUCAUUUUCAAGAGGAUUUUGUUAAAACUUGUAAAUUCCCAAGUGUUUCUGUGUCUCUUCCAGCAUUUCCUUAGUGAUAAUAUCUAAGAAGAGGAUGUAUAAAAUUUAACUUCAUAACUGCCGUUCAAGGAAUAACUGAUCGGGAGAUAAGAGGCUUUUCACUGUGAAAAGCAUGACAACUUUUAAAAGUUGUGCCAGGACAUCGCCUACGCAGAGGGACACGGCUGAGUGGGACAUGGCCAUCAAGCACAAGACUGCUCAGGGAGUGCCACAGGGUACUUAGUAGGACUUUCUGAAUAGGAGUUUUGAGGAAAACAGAUUUAUACCUCCCACAUUGUCUCCUGACGGAAUGGCUUCUGUGGUGCCCCCAAGGAAGCAAACACAGAAUUGUUUCUUGUCAGAGAAAAAGAGGACUCUUUUUGUUCUUUGCUUAAAUUUUGGAGGCCACACGAACCCUAGAGCUUUGCAAACAGUAUUUACGGUGAUUUCGGUGAAGUGUGGACACAAUCAAGUGAGAGAGGAAAUGAAAUCCGGGUCACGCAGCAAAGCAGAAUCCUCUGUAGAAUUCAUAUCCUGAAAGUUAUUGGGUAAAGAAGUCUGGGAGGAGCUUGUGGAUUUUUGUUAAAAAAUGUUUUGUUAAAUGCAUCCAUGUUUAAAUAUAAAUUAGUCUUUCCAGGAAAAGAUAAAGUUUCUUUGUCUAAAUUCUUACUAAUGAAAGUCACAAAUGUUCUAAUAAUGUACACAGCAAAUAGAAGUUUGAAGAUACCCAUAAUGAGACUUUAUGAGAAAAUCAAUUAAUGAGGAACAAUAAGAAUGAAGUGCCAAAUUUUCUUUGUCAAGCCAUUGGGGAAGCGGUGUGUUUAGUGGAAGAGAAUGAACUGCUAAAUCAGACUCAGAUAUGAAUCUGUUGACAAAUCAUUUACUUUCUCAUUAGCUUCAAUUGCAACAUCCAUAAAACAGGAAUGCUACUUAUUUUUCCUUUGCUAGAAGAAGUAUGAAAAUGUAUAUUACAUAAAAAGAUAGCGAUGUACAUAUAUAGCAAUCAAAAAACUUACGUCAAUCCUCUGGCCUCUUCCCCCUCCAUUCAUCUGGACUCGUUGAUAUUCAAUUAAAA